rnacentral:siRNA from 1 species
CAAAACCGACAUUCCUGCAGAUU